CUCUAGUGAAAGUCCAUUUUUCCUGCUCCUUUUUGUUAAUCACAGGAUUCCAUUAUACUGACAAUAAUCUACAGUUAUUCGUAUCUGAACACUGAUCCCCAGUGAAGCCGGGAUGGAGUUAAAAUGCUUGGAAUUUGUUCUCUAUAGUGCUGCUUUUCAUGUUGAGCAAAAAUACAGCACUUAUAAUUUGUUCCCCUGUAGUAUUUGUCAUCUUUUUACCGCUCUCUUAAGAGUGUAAUUCCUGCCCAAUAUUUUCUUUUUAAACUACCUCUCAUUUAAAUACACGCUUUGUGUUUUCUUAAAAUAAACGCUGUCAUGCAGCUCUUCUACUUCCUUUAUUGAGAAAACAGUAAUACUCAUACGAUUGUGGAAAAAAAGUUGAGAGGGAGGGAGAGACAGGGAAAGGAAGCAGAAAUCAUAACCAAAAAGUUCACACUGAUUAUUGAAAUAGUCAGUGCUCCCUUGGGCUGUGGGGAAGGGAAAGGCACUUUUACAGUGUUUUGGAACAUUUUUCUUCCUCGGGAUUCUGACUUUUCACCACAUAUUUAUGCUACGUUGAGAGAGGAGAAGAAAAGAAAAAGAACUCAAAGGUUUUACAGUUUCGAAGCAAAUAAAGGGGAGAUGCUGUUGUGGCUGCAGAGGUGAGCUAUGGACAGCUGGUGGAAGAGAAUCAGGCCCCAUGGUAAAGAGGGAAAGGACGGAGCAGCUCUCUUGUCUGCCAGAAGAUGAACAUUGCAGUGGGCAUACCAUGGGGCCAGACCACCAGCAGAGCAUUAAACAAGGACAGAUGUGAAUGCCAGGAUAAAAAUGAAGACAUUCCUGAAGUGCUUACUGAAGCUGUUGAUGAUAGUAUUUCAGAACUUACAAGUUUUCCUGACCCAGCUUUGAGCAGUUUACAGUGUCAUCAUAUUUUCCAUCUGAAAAUCUAGGCAGAAGAGCAUGUUUACAAUAGUUCCGUUAGAAAUAGCUUGAGAAAGUCUUCAGUGGGAGAAACCCAAAAUAGAAAUGAGGGUGGUUCCAAUGCCUCCCUGAAGGUAUGGUAUCUUCUUGCGAAGCUCCCUGAGAACCAGGAACAAGGAGCUGUCACAGCAGCAAGGAUGGGAUAUCCCACAGCUGUCAACAGGAGCACCCAGGAGCUGCAGUGAGGGUGUUGGACACUGUACAAAAGAGGGGCAGAUCAUCAGUAGCAGUAUUUAGAGGCAUUGCAGAGCUUUGACCAUUGAAUUCCUCAUAGCGAGCUGCAACCUGCUGCUCCUUCCACCUGGAGGAGGAUGCAGUGAGUCUGCAAUGAUACACAAGUCCAUGUGGGAUCCCUGAUCUCUUCUGCUGCUCAAAGCCACAAGGGAGGAGAUAUCUUCUGCGUAGCCUGUUUCCAACAGGUGAUGUGCAUUUGGGCAGCCGUCAUGUCAUGCCUGGAAUGUGAUGAAAACAAGAGGUCCUGACUGCUCACUACUGAGGAGCUCCCAGAGCACUUCUCACAGGAGCAGGGGUGUUAACCCUGAUAUCCUGGUCAAAUUCCAACAAGGCUAAUUAUAUCCCACUUACCUAAAACUCUGCCAUGCUUUCCCUGCUUGCUGCAAGGUCUUGCUAUGUGAAACAGGCUCUCUUCUGAUCUUAUUAAACACUAUGGUCUUCCGCAUCAGAUGGGGAUAUAUUUAGGGGACUGCUAAAGUUAGGUCUCAGGUUGAUAUAUUUCUUGUCCAGCGCAGUAAUGCUGGACGUAAACCGACAUUGUUUGCAGAAAGAAGAGUCUGCAUUGCAAGUGUAGUUAAGAACAGCCACUUGCAAGCAAUGGUAAUGGCCAUAGUAACAGUAUCCAUUGAGUUCCUGUAUCCGGCCUUCUGCCUGAUGGAGAUUAAGAUCAGUGUGGGUGGGGGCUGAACACUGAACAAAAGUGUGGGGGAAGAGUGGCACAGGUGACUGUUCCCUGGCGGUGAGAUCAAGGUGCCCAAGGGGGAGGCAGAAGGGGCUGUGCUUCUUUCUGAGUCUGCUUCAAGUGCACUACACUAUAUUGAGGAUGCUUGUGACAGUGUAGCCAUUGAAGACCCUAUAGUAUGUGAAUUUCCUGAAGAUCUCAGGCCUAUGAAGUGGUACUAAGAGAUUAUUUUAGCUUUGCAAAGGUGCUGUGAUAUCAAGCAACGGGGAAAAAAAUAUGUGUUUAUAGUUUUGACUAAAGAGUAAAUUAUCAAAGAUGACAUUGAAGUUGCCAUAUUGCAUCUUAUUAUUUGUUUUUAAAGACUGUAGAUGUGGUGUGUAAUGCUGCUGAAAUGGCCACAUGAUAAUCCCAGUGAGGCUUUUUGCUUCUUGUUUAGAAAUAAAUAUUUCCAGGAGGAAAACGAAUCAUGUAAAUGCACCUCUUCCCCUUUAUCUACUGGAAUCUCAUCUAUCUCAUUAUCUUUUCGGUACAAGCUGCCACCAAAAUAUCUUCGAAAUGAACAGAUGUUACAGGUUUAGCUGGAAUUGCCCAAAGCAGAUGUAAGAGUGGAUACCAUUCUUACUGUUGUUUCUUAUCUCUUUGCCUGCAAAUCAAAGUUGCAUCUUUGUCUGCAAAGGUUCCUGUUGAUAUGUGAGUCAGCAAAGCCAUCUCCUUAUAGCUCACCUUGUAUGGCAGAGCCCUACAUUCACAGAUUUUCUUCUCCAUGAUACACAUGCAUGCGUAUGCACGCAAACACACACACACACACAUACACAUAUGUGUUUACACACAUAUUGUUAAGUUGUUGGUAGCACAGCGGUGCUGUUACCUAGUAGAAUUAUUUCAGAUUGCUUCAAAUUUUUAGUUGAAUAGAUGACAGUAGGAUAUGUAUUAGAUAAAUUAAAUGUGUUGGUGUUCACACAAGUAUAUGCACUUGAAGCUAUUUUUGUUUUUUGAAGACAGGUGCCUUUAGCACAACUAGCAACCUUCAAAAAUGUGAAUAAGGGCACAGAGUCUUAAAAGCCUCUUCCUGUCUACUGUGUCUCCCCAGACAGGCUGAGGCCACAUUAAUGGAAAAAGCACAAAGUGAACAAGAUGACCUAACAGAUGCUACCAGGAUGUACUGUACUUUUCCUAAGAUAAAUAAAGCCUGUCAUUUUCAGCAGUAUCAGCAAACCCCACAUAUUCUUUACAGUGUAAUAAAAUAUAGCAUUAUAGUGUUCCAAAUUGCUUUGUAAGUCCAUAUUCUUUUAACUAUUAUUGGUUCUCCUUAUUCUGUUUAACAUACUUAAAUAUUAAUUACAUGAGUAUGGCAUAAAAUAUCCAUCAAUCUAGCUCAUUUUCACUGUCUUAAAUGGGAGCUUAGAGUAAAAAAAAAAAACAGCAUAUAAAGUAAACUCUGAACUAUUGCAAUUUAGAACCUCAGAUUUCAGACUUAUAAGCUGCUUUUAUUCAGCAGCAAAAUUACUCCAAAUGACUUUGAGUUUCUGUAAAAAAAAAGAAAAGAAAAAAAAAAAGAAAAAAACUGCAGCAACACUAAGGCACUCAAUUUCUGCAAGGACUCACAGAUUUAUCAUCUCAGAACUAUAAAAGAGCUGGGGAAAAGAAACUCUCCCUUCACUAAAGAUGAAUUUGUAUUUCUUUUUUUACUGUAGAUAGGUUUGUACAUCAGAUGAAUGAAUCUUAAAAUUUCUCUGAGGAGAGAAAGAUUUCUCUCAGGUUAACAGAUGCCACACCAGUUUGCUCAGACAUGUGCAGCACACAAAUUCUGGACAAAAUUUCUGACUAUUCUUGUUCCAGCAGAGCCAGUUUGCAGUUUCUCAAACCAAUCAGCAAAGCAGAAUUUUCCUACCCCUAGAGAUAGGUUUUGUUUUGAAAGAAAUCAUUCUUGCAAUGGAAGAUGGCUUUGCACCCAUCUUCCCUGCCUCUAUCUAGCCUUUCUGUCCUUGAAACCUUGUCCUUUCCACAGAAGCACAGAGCUAGUUGUAUAAACUGGCAGCUCAUAUCUAUCUCUGUGUCCACAUGGAAGUAGGUCAUUUUUUGCUUUUUCUUAAAGACUGUUGCUUUCAGCAGCAUUAUUUUUUUUACAAUCAGUAUAGUGCUGCCUCCAGCACCUUGUUUCUGGGAGUGACAAGCUGCCCUAAGCCUAAUAAAUGCUCAUAAUGAGUGGUUAUAGAAAAGUAGUUUCAAACAGGAGGUUCUUUCCAUAGCAAAGACUCAGCUCUGCAGCGUGUCCUGCACAGCCUGAGCUAUCCCAUAAUACUUGGACCAUCAUUAAGCCACUGAAUGUUACAAAGGACUGUUAGCCAGAGGAGCUCAUUGUUUCAUAUGAGUGCUUUUAUAUCAUUUUUUUUUUCCUGUCUAACAUAAUUGUGUUAUUAUUCUUAUGUAUUUCUAAUCCUAUUUGAAUCCUGUUCUGCUCUUGAUCAUUCCUGAUCUCACCUGGAAAAUGGGUAAUUGUCACUGUUUGUCUUACUAGCAAGAUAUUUAUCUAGGCUUUUCCAAUUAUCUGCUGAUAUUUCCCUUAUGUAAUGGGAAACAUGAAGUCAUCUGAUACCAAAGUUUGAGUAAAUCUAGUUCAUGUUGAAAUUGCCUCAAAUGGUACCAGUGACAAAAUCAAGAUCAUAGCAUGCAAUAUUCUGCUGAGAGUUUAAAACAGCAAUUUUGAAGAAGACAUCUACAUCCCAAGUUCUGGGUCAAGAAAUAGAGCUAUGUAUAUGCCAUUUGAAGCAUGAACCUCCACAGUGCAUUACGAUUCUUCCAUCUUGAUACAGGAUGCUACCUGAGCUGUUCUACUGUAUCAGAUGAAAAUCAAUAAGGAAUUGCAGAUCUAUAAAAGUAGACAUCUGAGUGGUAUAGAAGACUAUAACAUGGAACAUGGAUUCAUUUUCAGUUUUGUCAUGUUUCUCUUCUGUACUUCCAUAAUCAGAAAUGCAUUACUUCAACAGAAUGCUUAAAAAUUCAUACAUGUGACAUAAUGCUUCACUGAACUUUAAGAUGUCAGUUUGGAAAAAGAAAGAUGGAAAAUUUGGACUUCAUAUUUUAAACAGUUUCCUUACAAUAAACUUUUCUGGUCUGCUGAGUCUUGUCCCAAGUGGAAUUGGUGAGAUACAUCCUCAAGAGGACAGUUAGACUGUUGAAAACACUUGGAAAUAUCUCUUGGCUAUGUCUUAUUUAUAGAAGUCAACUGAGAGACAUGUGGUGUUCUGUCGUAUUGCUCUUCCAAGAGCCUCAUAUUUAUUAUUCUCAGUUGGCAAAAGUGUCCUUGUUUGAAGUUGUACAAGUUAAUCUCUGCCAGUUUAGCCCAAGAACACAAGAUCACUUUCAAACUGCUUUUCCAUAUUCCCGCUUUUAAAACAUCACAUUCAUCACGUGAUAUGUCUUCUUUUCUGUAGAUGUGUGACGUGCAAAGCAAUUUAAUGCAGCACAUAGCAUCUAUGACAUCAGAACCAUUCCCUGCCAGCACUUUAACAAGAUUCCAUUUUGCAUGUCCAGCUUCAGGACUUUCCGAGGGCUCUGUUGCUUUAAGAUACAGAAGACUGGUUCAGACCUUCACAAGAAGCUGUCAGCAGAGUUUGCAAUGUCCUGCAAGCCUUGAAUUGCAUGUAGGAUUUUGUAUUGGCUCAGUAUUACUUACAGUGUUUUGCUGUUUGUGAUUAGGUUUGCAGGAAGGCUGACUGCGGAGUUCUGAUCUGGAUUUCUCCAAAGUGUUUGGGUCUGUUCUGGGCUGCAGCAUGCUGUAGUCAGCAUUUGUUCAUAUCAACAUCUGUAAAACAUUUGGCAUUACUUGAAAAUAUUAGUCACAAUUGUAAAACUAAUAAAAAUCCUUCUUUCUUAUUUUAACUAUAAGGUGGUCAUAUAUGCUGGGCACUCAUCAUUGAUUUAGAUGUUAUCUCUCUGCUAGUAACAUUUUUGCUGUGCUUGCUCCAAAGGCUGCAUUUUUGAUCUGGGAGCAAUUCUCAGCUAAGAAAAUUCAUUCAACUGAAGCUCUGUGCCAGAACUUGGAGGACUUGCAGUUGAUUUACAUCCAGGUGCUCUAUACCAAUUUGUACCAAUUCUCAAACCUCUCUGACAAAAUCCACAGUAGAUUUUCAGCAUGCCCUAAUAAGCAGCACUUUCUUAUGCAAAGGGAGGCUCCUCAGAUGAUCACUCAGACUAUAAUAAAGAUGAGGACUUUGUAUAGAUAUUUUAAACACUCUAAAUGAAAGGUAUUAGCAAAGUGUUGUGAAAUAAGGGCUUCACUAUAUGAAUUACUUACCUCUGAAAUGCAGUGUUAUUGUAGCAAAUUAACUAAAUCCAGAGGCACUUUCCCCUGCAGAUAUAUGCCUACAGUUGUGUCUAAAUGCAAUGCAGGAUGAAUAAAGUCCUGAGUGCCAUGUGGUAAAAAGCACUUUUCAUGUGGCAUAAGCACUUCAACCCAUGAAUUUGCAAUUAAAAUGAAUUUCAAGAGGCAUUUUACUGAGAUUACGUAAUGUAUUUGUUAAGUAUAUGCCAAAUAUUCACUGCUCAUUGGGCUUUCUGAGUCAGAAAAUUCUGUGUAUACUUUCCUUUACUAUGGACUAAAUAAGGAGCAACCACUUCUUAUCUGCUGCGGCUUGAAACAGAGUCAGAUAUUAUGAUUUGGCAACUUGUCAUGCUGAAACAACUCAGUCAUACAGCCACAGCCUGAGGGUGUAUACCGCCAUAACUGGAAUUUGCUGACGAAUUAUGAGAACACCCCUCAUAUGGACACCGCUCAUGCUUCAGACUAAAAUAUACAACACAAUUUAUAUAUGACAGCAUAUAUAUGACAUGCUUUUGCAUAGUCUUGCUACGUUUUCCAAAAUGUCUCAAUUUUUGGGUUACAGACUGUGACCCACUUCAAGUUCUUGCUGGGUAAAGCCAGAAGUUCUCUUUGUGUGUGUGUAAUCUUGUAAAAAUUGAUUCACAUUGGCCUGUUUCAACUUCAGAAGUCAGUCAGCAGGAAUGGCACCUCUAGUUCCCAGGAAGCAGAGAAGAGCUGAUGCUGUGUCCUUGAAAAUUUGCCCUGUAUGCCCAUCAGUGAUGGUGCGUGGCUGUGCUGAGCGCUUCAGUAACAGAGCUUUUUUCCCAAGUAUGGCUAUGAUGUCUUUGUUUAUAGAAUACUUUUCUAAACCAGGUUCAGCAUCAUGCCUACAAAAUUAGUAAUCACAUUUUUGGCAAGUAUUAGGUCAUACUAUCUGCAGAUUGUUCAUAGCUUGUUUAGGACUAAAUAAAAUUUGCUCUUUGUUCUGAGAUUAGUUUUCACUUCUACUUGGGCAGAGCUUCAGCUUUCUCAUUUAUCUGCCAAAUGUCACUUCACUGAGUCUAUCCUCCCACCCAAAAGAGGAAGCUCCUUCAAAGCUACAUUUGCUGGACUUGGAAAAUAACAUCUAAGGCUCCCUUAAAUAAUGACCAUAAAGAAUACUUCCGAGAUAGCAGACAUUAGUAUGAUGAUAUUAGUAUCAACCUCAGCUCUUUUGUUAUUCUUGUGUUUUGAAGAGCCUCAGGGAGGAUUGUAGGCACACCUUUUUCACUGGUGUCUUUUGUUGGCUGACCUGAAGGUAGAAGGUGCCCUAUCGGGCUAUAGUGAGUUUGUCUGGGGCUCUUCAUUCCAUCUGCUCUACUACUCUGCUAAGCGUUCCCAUUCCUCAAUAGAUGUGUACAAGCAGCACUCUGGGCUAGCUGUCACUCACUCGCUUUCUGAAUGCAGAGAAGAAAAGGAGCAAAUGAGGAGAGAACAGUGAGUGGGAAUCGUUUCCCUGCCUUCCUGCCCUUGUCAGGCACACAUUAAUUGUGACAGUGGUUUGAACAUCAAAGAAUGUAGACAUGAGAAGUAAAGAUGUGAGCCGACAGAAAGAGAGAAAGAGGAAAGAAUAGGUGUGGUGUUACAAGAGGAGGUGUGUGGUAGAUCUAAGGGCUUAACUUCCAUGAGGUAAUUAUAGAAGCAUAAACAAUAAAUCAGACUUUAUCUGGCAAACCUUUGACCAUACAAAAAAAGGAAGAUACAUCAGUGGGAUUAUAGGAUCUAGCUCUGUAAGGCAUGGGUUAUAGCCAUGCAGUUUUGGGCCCUCGGUUUCUCUUUGAGCAGCUUGAUAGCAAGGCAUGCAUCAAAACUGUUACUGAAAACAUGCUGUGGGUUUCUUGUAUCUUCAGCUGAAGGAGAAAGCUGUUACUGAUUACUGGCUACGCUGGUUGUAUUUCAGGGCUGGUCUUGUGUGGUGGUUUUCUUUUCAGCUCUGAAGUCAGUUAGCUGUGUGAUAACCUCCUUCUUCCCCACCAGGGAAGAUCUCCAAGAGUCCACUUCUGUGACAGAUCUGUGCAGUGGAAAGAACUAAGGUGGGAACAAAGGCUCUCCUUCUUUCCUUUUCCGCACCCCUAUCCCCUUCUCCUCCAUUUCUGCAGCACCAGAAUGAAAAUCAGGCUCCUUCACCCCUUCAUGCAUACUGCAAAAUCUGUAUCACCAUUGUCUAAUCAACAAAAUGAUUUGUAAAGAUUUCACUUUACCUUUGAUCUUGCAAAAUGAGAGUAGCUUUAAGAAAAGCCAGAUACUUUAAAGAUCACCACAUGGUUUUAAUAGCAUUUUCUACUUUGUUUCAUAACUUGAAUGAACAAGAUAUGAACAGUAUUCCUAUUGUCACCACAUUUCACUGUGUUAUCACGUUUGCUAAUAUUUCCUAGUUAAAAAAAAUUUGGCAGCUAUUAUGAAGCUGAUGUAACUUAAUAUCUGCUUCUAGCUCCAUCAGUAGAGCCUGUUCCAAAGCUUACUGAAGCUGCUAGAAACUUGCUCUCUGGCUUCAGUCAGUUUGAGAUCUGAAGUACAGAAAGGGAAAUGACAUGCUCGGAAGGUUUCCCACCUUUCAGAUCCCAUUUCUUUUCCCUCUUCAGCUAUGCAAAAGCUCUCACCACAUUGCAGAGCACAGUGUGGUUUGGAUGCUGUAUGCACAUAUGUGAACAUGAUGGGUUUAUGGGUGUAUUUUUGCUGACAAACUGAAAUCAUGGGAGAAAGAGAGAGGAAGUACUUUGUUUCAGAUUUGAAGUUACAUUUUUGAAUUGUAAAUAGAGUUUCUGAGAAGUUAAACAAAAAUAAAGAUGUUUUCAUUUCUUUGCCACUGAAAAUGCACAGAAUAAAAAUUGAGAGGAGGAGUGGAGAAAGAUGACAUCCUGGACUCUUCCGUUUUGUUUUCUCCCCAUUACUGCCAUGCUCCUUCACUUGCAUGACAGGGGUGAGUCUAAACUAGUGCACAGAUUGCUCUUCCACUUCAUAGCCAGGCAGCUGCUUCCUGCCCUGAUAACUAAUUUCAUUUAUUUCCUUUUCAGAAGACGGCCUGCCCUGGGUGGCAAUUACAGUUGGUUAAUUUUGGCACAAUGUGAUUAAAAGCAGAUUGAUAUAAAUCACUGAACAGUGUAGCUUAUGAAAAUGCAAGUUAAAGUAGCGCCCCAACCACAGUGCUGUCAUGAGAGAAGCUGAAAGCCAGAUGUUGGUCUAAUCAUGAUAGAAAUAAUCUAGUAGCAGACUUUAUCCUCUGGAGCUUGAAAGCCUUACCUAAUGGUUUUUGUCAGCCAGAUACCUCAGUGUUGCAAUACAUAUUGAAUGUUUUAGAGGAUCACAAGUUGGUUUGUUUUCUUGGCUUAUAGAUGGAUAUUCUGGGAGUAGCUUUGUGUACACGAUCUGCGGGAGCCCCAGGUGAAAAGCACCUAGUAGGGGAUAAGAGACAUUCUGAGUAUCUAAGGUGUCCAAGUGUCUUGGACACUCAAAAUCUUACCUUAUUUUAAAGUAACCUAUGUGUGGUUGUGUCAUUAGAAUAAUGAACAAAUAAUGAGUGCUUCUGGAAUCACCAGAGGUAGAUAUAUGUGUGUACACUGAGUGUAAUUAAAACUGCAAACAGAUCCUUCCUGCAUCUCACUGCAUUUAUCAAGGAAAAACUACAUUAAUUGAAAAUAGUGCCUGUAAGUUAAAGUCUUUAUUUUUGGAUCAGCAGAGAUGUGAUAGGAUGAGUUCACCUUAAGUUAAAUGUGAAUGCCCCGAUUACAAGCUUGUUUCAGGCUCUGUAUGGCUUAAAAUGUGAGCCUGUUCUGGCUACUGUGCACCCAUAGGUGAUCUCUGCAGGCUGAAGAAUAAGUGUGGGGGCUCCUGAGCCAGCAUCCUGCCCAACACUUUCAUCUGGCAUGCUGUCAUCUCCUCUGAGAGGCCCUGCAUGAUAUUGAGGUGACACAAGGUGCAGCUAGGGAGAGAUGAAGCUAUGGUCCACAAUGACACAGUUCAUAUGUACUAACAGACACCAUGUGCUACUGCUAUCAGUUUUCAUACCAGAUUAUUCACUGGGCUCUGCAAUAAGAAAAUGAUAGAAAAGCCAUUAAUUUGGCUGGUGAUUAAGCUGGACAAGGAAACCCUAUAAAGACCAACAUCUGCUUUCUAAAAUAGAAUAGUCCAGAUGGAAGGGACCUACUAAGGUCAUCAAGUCCAGCUACUGUGGAUGGCAUAAAAACAUUUGGUUCAGGGACAAUUUAUGCCCUCCAAAAAUGUCUUUUUUCUAGGGACAAACCCUCCACUUCUUUCAAAGGUAUUUUGCACCUGGUAUGUGCAGUCUACAUUUUAUAACAUUUUUAACAAAAGAAAAAUGUAAGAAGAGGGAACUGCUUCUUUGUUUUGCUUGAGACUUGUGCCAGAACAGUCUCUAAGGAAUUGACGGUGCCCUGAUCAGAUAGAAAUAAAUCAUGGGGACACUAUUUUAUAUCCUUAUGUGUCUCUGUGCAAAUGCAUUUGGAGAUGGUGAUGUGAAUGUGAAAAAAUAACAUUUGUGGAGAUAUGGAAAUGAAGAGGGAGGAAAAAAGAGGAAAAGAGAAGGGGAGCAAGCUGCUGAGAGCACAGCCACUCAGCCAGCUACCUGCAUCAGACAGUGACCAAAGCCUCUGCCCAAGACAGUCUUUGUAUUCUAUGAUAUGAAUUUUCUUCAACAGUAGAGCACAAUUUUCCUGAACUCUCUUUUUCUUUUCCUACCAAAAAGGAUGUUUUGGAGAAUCUUUGCUGACUGUCACAUUGCAAUUACUGCAGUGCGGAUGGCAAAGUUUGUGGGAAGGAGGAAUACUGAAGAAGAGUUAAAAAUUAAGGCAACUUGUUUGGGUUUUUCGUUGUUGUUUUUAUAUAUAACAUAUGCAGAUCUGUUGAGGUUUUUUUUUUUUCUUCAUUUUAAGAAAAGCUUCAAAAUUAGGAUAGAAAAAUGAUUUUUUUCUCAUUCCCAGUCUUUUGUUUUAAGCAUCUGUGCUUUGUUUUAAUCAUGGAUGUGCAUGAUCAAGAAAUUACACUGAGAUCUGCUCCCAUUCCAUGGAACACUCAGAGCAAAACCUCUAUGGUUCUUCAGAGUAACCUUCUCUUGCACUGGGCUUCACAUCAUAUACUACUUAAAUCUGAGCACACACACUUUCAGAGUCAAGGCUUUACAAGGUCUGGACUGUUUCUUUCUUUGAUGAAUAGUAUAUGGUGCCAAAAUUUGCCAGAUCCUGCCUGUACAAAACAGGGGCUUAGAAUUAACAUUGUAUGUGUUUAAUGGCAGAAAAAAAAAAACAGACUUGGUCUUCUGGUGGAAGGGAGUCUUAUGCACAACAGUAUCUCUGGAUUGUAUUUGUUGCUUUCACAGACAUAAUGACUUUUCCAUGUGUUUGCUGCUGCUGAAAUUGCCAUUAAAAGAACUACGUUGAUGGUAUCAAAUUCUUGUACUUUUGUGGUAACCUUGUUCAAACAAAGCAAGAAACUUCACGCUUUUUCAGAAGCUGUACCCUUGACACAAAGAGAUACGGAAAAAUAGAGAAAGGUGAUGAGCUAUUCUCAAAUCGAGAAUAUCUAAGCCAGUAACUUAAUGCUGGCUUAACACUGUUUUGUUUGUCCUUAUUCCCCUGUAAUCAGAGAAGACUGCAGAUUCCUAGAAAUCCAUCAGUAUGGCUCAUUGCUGGUAUGGCACAGUGGUGGCACUAUGCAAGAUUUCCAACAGUGCCAACCAUGUGUUGUGUGUCUGUUCAGCAGAAGCACUGGUGGGACAGUAAAAUGCUUGCUUGAGUCAAGAUAAUGUCAGUUGCUUAUGCUCCUUAAAAAUCUACUGGUGCUAAGAAAAUGUUGCUCUAAUCAUCUGAACGUUGCUGCUUUGAAAAAGUAUGAAUAUGAAAUCCCACAUAUGUGAUAAUGAUUUUGAGAAAGCAAUGAUCACUGCAACUAAAGCAUUUGCAUCUGUUAAAAGCACAGCUUGCUCUUUCACUUGUGUCAAAGCUGCUGGCACAGAAUUCAAAGUACUGGAUUGGCAACUCUAUCAGGAAGCAAGUGCAGCACAAAGCCAUAAUAGCUGUCUUGGUUUGCUUUUGUUAUCUAAAAAAUUUCAAGUGCUUUGGAUAACAUAAGGUGCCAUAUAACUAUGGAAGCUGUUGGGCAGCAGCUUGACAACCAUAUGCCUAUAUCUAUAAUGUAUGCACAGCCUCAUCUUUAACUACAUGUUUUCCUUUAGCAGCUGUGGCAACAGUGGUGAGUUCAAACAAUUCCCACACAGUGAAAAUGCAGCUGGAGGCAACGGCUUCUCUGCUGAGGGCACAGAAGACACAAGCACUCCGGUCACUUAAAGACUUUCAGAGGGGCCAAAGUAACCUCAGCGCUUACUGUCUGAUCUAUGCCAACUGUGUUGCAAAGAUUCCCAUCCUAACAUUAACCAGCUCACUGUGAAGUCAUGCACAGUGCAGAAAGGCAGGGAUAUUGGAGGUCAGUUCAGCACCGUGGUGAAGCAGCACUCCUGCUCCUGGUGCUGGUGCUAAUGCAUGUGGGUCACCAGGGCUAUCUCUGCACUGCUGCCAGGGUUAAGCCAGUUCAUGGUUCUCUGCACCUGUGGAGUAAACCUUUUUUUUUUUUCUGAAAACUCCUUUUUUGCCUUUCUCAGACAGUGAACAUGGAAGAACUGAGACAGUAUGGGAGCAGCUGCAAAGGGUAUCCAAGCUCAGCUAGGAGAAGGUAUGUGUGGCUGGCCAUGAGGGUGAAGAAAAUUCAGGCAACUUUCUUUUGGAAAGGACAAGCAAAGUCUCUCCAUGUCAGAAAUUUAGAGGUUUAUUCUGUAUGUUGCCUUGUGUUUCAUGUAAUAAAAUCCAGACCACAUACAGCACCAAAUCCUGCAGUUGUCAUUGUCUUAGAAGUCCUAUUCAAAGGUUAACUAACCACUAGGUGUUCCCCUGACAAAGAUAAAAUCUUUGUGUUCCAAACUUUCUGAAGAGUCUUUCAUUACAAUAAACAUCUCCUGCCCAGUAGCUGAGGCUUGUUGAGUAUAAAGAGCCUUUGUCAGGGAUGGAGCACAGCAGAGCUUCCUGAGGAUUUCUUUCCACUCUAAAACUGAGGUGGGUCUGUCCUCCCCACUCAUUUUAAUUUGUUCAUUUUUUCCUAGGAAACAAGUAUUGCUCUGGUUUUCAUUUUCCACAGGCUGCUUGAGUAUCUUGGAGUCUGGAGCUGAGGGGAAAGGAAAGGUUGUUAUCCUUAGUGGUGUUGCCUUUUAUCAUCAAUACUGGCUGCUAGUAUAGAAGAGUAGUAUACCAGCCAAGGGUAUAGCAGUCACUGCUACACAUGUAGACCAUGAGGACUGCUCAGCAACAGAGGCUGUGCAGGACUUGCGAUGUGUUCCCCACUUCUCUCUGAAAUACUUCAUAGUACAUCUGGAAUACAUGUUUUCACUUUUAAAAUCUGUCCUUUUACAAAUAAAAUAGUGUGGAAUCUGCCCAGAUAAUUCUCAUUGUAGCAGCACUAGUAUUGCUUCAUUGUUAAUCUCUUUUCAGCUGUGGCAAUUGUUACUCCUCUCCUCUCCUCUCCUCUCCUCUCCUCUCCUCUCCUCUCCUCUCCUCUCCUCUCCUCUCC
ensembl:lncRNA